AUUGAACGCUGGCGGCAGGCCUAACACAUGCAAGUCGAACGAGUGGCGGACGGGGGAGUAAUGUCUGGGAAACUGCCUGAUGGAGGGGGAUAACUACUGGAAACGGUAGCUAAUACGGAAUACCAGCGGAUGUGCCCAGAUGGGGUUAGCUAGUAGGUGGGGUAAAGGCUAACCUAGGCGACGGUCACUAGCUGGUCUGAGAGGAUGACCAGCCACACUGGAACUGAGACACGGUCCAGACUCCUACGGGAGGCAGCAGUGGGGAAUAUUGCACAAUGGGCGCAAGCCUGAGGCAGCCAUGCCGCGUGUAUGAUGAAGGCCUUCGGGUUGUAAAGUACUUUCAGUGGGGAGGCGUUACCCGCAGAAUAAGCACCGGCUAACUCCGGGCCAGCAGCCGCGGUAAUAC
rnacentral:rRNA from 1 species